GACGAACGCUGGCGGCGCGCCUAACACAUGCAAGUCGAACGAGAGAUGAGGAGCUUGCUCUUCAAAUCGAGUGGCGAACGGGUGAGUAACGCGUGAGGAACCUGCCUCAAAGAGGGGGACAACAGUUGGAAACGACUGCUAAUACCGCAUAAGCCCACGGCUCGGCAUCGAGCAGAGGGAAAAGGAGCAAUCCGCUUUGAGAUGGCCUCGCGUCCGAUUAGCUGGUUGGUGAGGUAACGGCCCACCAAGGCGACGAUCGGUAGCCGGACUGAGAGGUUGAACGGCCACAUUGGGACUGAGACACGGCCCGGACUCCUACGGGAGGCAGCAGUGGGGAAUAUUGCACAAUGGGGGAAACCCUGAUGCAGCGACGCCGCGUGGAGGAAGAAGGUCUUCGGAUUGUAAACUCCUGUUGUUGAGGAAGAUAAUGACGGUACUCA
rnacentral:rRNA from 1 species